rnacentral:rRNA from 1 species
UAGACGAAGUUACGCUAAUACCGCAUAUUCUGUGAGCAGGAAGAGGGGAUCGCAAGACCUCUUGCUUUUAGGAGCGGCCGAUGUCGGAUUAGCUAGUUGGUGAGGUAAAGGCUCACCAAGGCGACGAUCCGUAGCGGGUCUGAGAGGAUGAUCCGCACACUGGGACUGAGACACGGCCCAGACUCCUACGGGAGGCAGUAGUGGGGAAUUUUGGACAAUGGGCGCAAGCCUGAUCCAGCCAUGCCGCGUGAGUGAAGAAGGCCUUCGGGUUGUAAAGCUCUUUCGGUGGGAAGAAAUUGCUUCGGUUAAUACCUGGAGUAGAUGACGGUACCCGCAUAAGAAGCACUGGCUAACUACGUG